ensembl:lncRNA
AUCCCCGUCAAGCAGCAGCACCAUUAUUUGUGCCCUUGCAAGCAAGGAAGCUAUUUUAUCCUUGGAAGGAAAGAGAGAUGUUAUCUUCUAGUAAAGAGGAGCCCCGCUUUCAGGUUGCAUUUGUUGCAAGGAACAGGCUGGAGGAAGGUGAUGGCUGGAGAAGAGCUGAGCUGACAGACCUGUGACCACACGAACCCAAAAGGGGCAGCCUGCAGCUGCACCGCCCAGCACCCAGAGGCUGAGACCGUGAUGAUAGGAAUACACUCAAAGAAAGCAAAGGAGCAGCAGAGGACCCGCAGCAGCCGGGCCGGGGCCGUGCUCGGUAUGCGGGCUCUCUCUGGUGGUUGCAGGCAGCAGCGCACAGUGCUCACCGCACAGCGCAGAGCGUACAGCACGCGUUGCACACACAGCA